GUUUAGUGACCGCGUUGUAUUGAGGUAGGGUAGGUAAAGGAUAAUGUGUAGCGUUAUGGUUGUGUAGGGAUUAAAAGGUGGACUUGCGAUUAAUGAGUUAUAGUCCUAGACAGCAGCUAUUUCAGCUUCCAUCAUUAAAAUAUAAUUAUCUGCCGCUUGGAGGUGUAGAACUCUCUUAUUUCAGGCAGAAUGGGUUGGAUCCAUG